rnacentral:rRNA from 1 species
UACGUAGGUGGCAAGCGUUGUCCGGAAUUAUUGGGCGUAAAGCGCGCGCAGGCGGUCCUUUAAGUCUGAUGUGAAAGCCCACGGCUCAACCGUGGAGGGUCAUUGGAAACUGGGGGACUUGAGUACAGAAGAGAAGAGUGGAAUUCCACGUGUAGCGGUGAAAUGCGUAGAGAUGUGGAGGAACACCAGUGGUGAAGGCGACUCUUUGGUCUGGAACUGACGCUGAGGCGCGAAAGCGUGGGGAGCAAACAGG